GAUGAACGCUGGCGGCGUGCUUAACACAUGCAAGUCGAACGGAAAGGCUCCUGCUUGCCGGGGUACUCGAGUGGCGAAAGGGUGAGUAACACGUGGGUGAUCUGCCCUGCACUUUGGGAUAAGCCUGGGAAACUGGGUCUAAUACCGGAUAGGUCGAUGGUUUGGAUGCCAUUGUGGAAAGGUUUUUCGGUGUGGGAUGAGCUCGCGGCCUAUCAGCUUGUUGGUGGGGUAAGGGCCUACCAAGGCGUCGACGGGUAGCCGGCCUGAGAGGGUGUACGGCCACAUUGGGACUGAGAUACGGCCGAGACUCCUACGGGAGGCAGCAGUGAGGAAUAGUGCGCAAGGGGCGGAAGCCUGAUGCAGCGACGCCGCGUGGGGGAUGACGGCCUUCGGGUUGUAAACGGCUUUCGCUAGGGACGAAGCGCAAGUGAGGGUACCUGGAGAAGAAGCACCGGCUAACUACGUG
rnacentral:rRNA from 1 species